rnacentral:rRNA from 1 species
GAUGAACGCUGGCGGCGUGCCUAAUACAUGCAAGUCGAGCGAACAGACGAGGAGCUUGCUCCUCUGACGUUAGCGGCGGACGGGUGAGUAACACGUGGAUAACCUACCUAUAAGACUGGGAUAACUUCGGGAAACCGGAGCUAAAACCGGAUAAUAUAUUGAACCGCAUGGUUCAAUAGUGAAAGACGGUUUUGCUGUCACUUAUAGAUGGAUCCGCGCCGCAUUAGCUAGUUGGUAAGGUAACGGCUUACCAAGGCAACGAUGCGUAGCCGACCUGAGAGGGUGAUCGGCCACACUGGAACUGAGACACGGUCCAGACUCCUACGGGAGGCAGCAGUAGGGAAUCUUCCGCAAUGGGCGAAAGCCUGACGGAGCAACGCCGCGUGAGUGAUGAAGGUCUUCGGAUCGUAAAACUCUGUUAUUAGGGAAGAACAAAUGUGUAAGAAACUAUGCACGUCUUGACGGUACCUAAUCAGAAAGCCACGGCUAACUACGU